GUAUUUUAAGAUAUAUUUCAACAUUGAAUCAGGAGUACAGCUCCGAGACCUGUAGCUGAUCCAUCAGUUUGUACUAUAAAUUUUUUUGAAAAAUCAGGGAAUUUCAAGAUUGGUGCCGAUGUCAUUUAAUGGAGCUACUAUUUUGCUGAACAUGGGGAUAUGUCGAGCAUAGAAUACUGCAGCACCUACUAGUCUAGAUAUUUCUUUAAUGUUUUUUGGAAUUGGCAUUUCUUUAAUGGCUUGAACCUUAAUUGGAUCAGCGUAACGUCCAUCAGCAGAAAUUACACUACCAAGUAAACGGACUCUAGACAUACAAAAGCGUGCCUUAUCAGGGUUGAUUGUAAUUCCAGAUUUCUUUA